rnacentral:rRNA from 1 species
GACGAACGCAGGCGGCGUGCUUAACACAUGCAAGUCGAACGGAGGAUUUAUUUCGGUAAAUCCUUAGUGGCGAACGGGUGAGUAACGCGUGGGCAAUCUGCCCUUCAGAUGGGGACAACAUCCCGAAAGGGGUGCUAAUACCGAAUACGAUCACGCUGCCGCAUGGCGGAGUGAUGAAAGAUGGCCUCUAUUUAUAAGCUAUCGCUGAAGGAUGAGCCUGCGUCUUAUGAGCUAGUUGGUGGGGUAACGGCCAACCAAGGCGAUGAUCAGUAGCCGGUCUGAGAGGAUGAACGGCCACAUUGGGACUGAGACACGGCCCAAACUCCUACGGGAGGCAGCAGUGGGGAAUAUUCCGCAAUGGACGAAAGUCUGACGGAGCAACGCCGCGUGAGUGAUGAAGGUUUUCGGACUGUAAAACUCUGUUGUUUAGGACGAAAGUGCCUGUUGCGAACAGUUGCAGGUAUUGACGGUACUGAACGAGGAAGCCACGGCUAACUACGUGCCAGCCGCCGCCGUAA